ACGCCGUUUUAUCCAAAAUGCCUUAAAACUUUUUUCCAAAAUGGGUUCCCCCUUCCCCCCGCCUCUUCGGAAAGAGUUUUACUCUGUCGUAUCUCUCCUUCUAAAACCGUACUUAUCUUCUCCUCGCAAAACCCUAGCCCCUUCUUUUUUUCUUUCGUAGUAAUCAUCCAUGGAGUUUUGGGGUAUGUCUAGCGAAGAAGAAAGCAAGGAGGAGGAAGAGGAGGAACUUCCUGUCGCUGCUGCUGCUGCAGUAAAUGGAAAGGCUAUGCUAGAUGCAAAAACAGCCAAGGCUAAUGCUGGGAAACCUGAUGCUGUUAAACAAUCUGGGAAGAUAGCAGAACCUAGCAAUAACAAGAAAUCUGAGGAUGAAGAUGAUGAUGAUGAGUCCGAGGAUGAGAGUGGUUCUGAUGAGGAAGAUGAUUCUGAUGAUGAUGACGAGUUUGAUGAGAUGUCUAUAGAUGAAAGUUCAGAUGACGAGGAUAACGAGACACCUAAGAAGGUCGAGUCAAGCAAUAAGAGACCUGCUGAAGCUGCAACCCCUGCUUCUGCAAAAAAGGCUAAAUCUGCAGUUACACCUCAGAAGACAGAUGGUAAGAAGGGUGGACACACCGCAUCCAGCAAAGCAAUCUGGGAAAAAUUCUGCAAAGUCUCUAAAGCAAUGCCUGGCAAGCGCUUCUAUGACUUCUCUGAGAUUCGCAGGGAGAUUCAGGCUGAGACGGAUAGGGAUGCUGGAGGAAACAAAGGUGUUUCUGACAAGCAGAUUCGACUUAAGAUUUUCUCACCAAAUGUUCUUGAUAUCACUCUCAUGGAUUUGCCUGGAAUCACAAAGGUUACUGUGGGUGACCAGCCCUCUGACAUUGAAGCUCGAAUAAGAACAAUGAUCAUGUCAUACAUUAAACAGCCAAGCUGUCUGAUUAUAGCUGUUACUCCUGCAAAUUCUGACUUAGCAAAUUUUGAUGCGCUUCAAAUUGCUGGAAAUGCUGAUCUUGAUGCAAAUUCGAGUUGCUGAACGUUGUGGUGUACCUCAGUUGGCGAAGAAGCUGAACCAGGAGGUUGAUCCGUGUGAAGGCUUGACUGACGAUGACAUUCGAACUGCUAUUCAGAGAAGCUCUUCAAUUUAUAUUUGGUUGAUUAGCCAUUGAUGCUUAUCUAUACCCUUCUUGAAACAGAUGUUAUCGUCCAGCUUUCUAAUGCUAGUUCUUAAUAUAUGAGAAUUUUUUUCUUAUACCAGUUGGAGUUUCUUAAUUAUUAAUUUACUAUGAUGUCAUAUUUAAGGCCUCUCGAGUAUUUAAGGCAUCUCGGUUUUUUGGUUAACCAUAAAAAAUUCAGUUUGGUUAACAGAAGAGAUUUUAAGAAAAUUUGAUAUUUGAAUGUUAUUUUGGUUAUUAGUUAGGAUUAGUUCUGUUAAGUUUUUAUACCUUCAUUUUAUUUGUUUUGAACUUUUAGUAUGUGUUAAUUUAACAUCUAAUGGUGAUUAAUAUCUUCAUUGUAUUGUGCUUCUAGAUUUUGAUUUGUUCUGAUAUUUUGGUUGGAUAUGUAGAAUUAUCCAUUGAAAAAAUGUUGAAGGUUAAUUUUGUUUCGUUAACAAAAACCAACCAAAUUAACUGAAAUAUUAAGUUGUUCUCUCUUUUCCUGUAAUUUUGUAGUUAACGGAUUUGGGUUUCAUGUUACAUUAUUUUGUAUG